rnacentral:rRNA from 1 species
UACGUAGGGUGCGAGCGUUGUCCGGAAUUAUUGGGCGUAAAGGGCUCGUAGGCGGUUUGUCGCGUCGGGCGUGAAAACCCAGGGCUUAACCCUGGGCUGGCUUCCGAUACGGGCAGACUAGAGGUAUGCAGGGGAGAACGGAAUUCCUGGUGUAGCGGUGAAAUGCGCAGAUAUCAGGAGGAACACCGGUGGCGAAGGCGGGGCUCUGGGCAGUAACUGACGCUGAGGAGCGAAAGCGUGGGGAGCAAACAGG